CCUACGGGUGGCAGCAGUGAGGAAUAUUGGUCAAUGGGCGGAAGCCUGAACCAGCCAAGUCGCGUGAGGGAUUAAGGCCCUGCGGGUCGUAAACCUCUUUUGCCGGGGAGCAGUGGUCCGGACGCGUCCGGACCGGGAGAGUACCCGGAGAAAAAGCAUCGGCUAACUCCGUGCCAGCAGCCGCGGUAAUACGGAGGAUGCGAGCGUUAUCCGGAUUUAUUGGGUUUAAAGGGUGCGUAGGCGGUCGGAUAAGUUAGAGGUGAAAUCCCGAGGCUCAACUUCGGAAUUGCCUCUGAUACUGUUCGGCUAGAGAGUAGUUGCGGUAGGCGGAAUGUAUGGUGUAGCGGUGAAAUGCUUAGAGAUCAUACAGAACACCGAUUGCGAAGGCAGCUUACCAAGCUACUUCUGACGUUGAGGCACGAAAGCGUGGGGAGCAAACAGGAUUAGAUACCCCGGUAGUC
rnacentral:rRNA from 1 species